rnacentral:rRNA from 1 species
UACGUAGGGUGCGACGUUGUCCGGAAUUACUGGGCGUAAAGCGCACGUAGGCGGAUAUUUAAGUCAGGGGUGAAAUCCCAGAGCUCAACUCUGGAACUGCCUUUGAUACUGGGUAUCUUGAGUAUGGAAGAGGUAAGUGGAAUUGCGAGUGUAGAGGUGAAAUUCGUAGAUAUUCGCAGGAACACCAGUGGCGAAGGCGGCUUACUGGUCCAUAACUGACGCUGAGGUGCGAAAGCGUGGGGAGCAAACAGG